UGGGAAGUGACUCAGUGGUAGAGUGUUUGCCUUGCAUGCAUGAGGCCCUCGGUUCGAUUCCUCAGUAUCACAU
rfam:Dipodomys ordii contig_1282, whole genome shotgun sequence.